GACGAACGCUGGCGGCGUGCCUAAUACAUGCAAGUCGAACGCAGGGGGGACGGGUGAGUAACACGUGGGUAACCUCCCAUCAGAGGGGAUAACACUUGGAAACAGGUGCUAAACCGAUACGGAAGGAGGGAGCCGCGGUGCAUUAGCUAGUUGGUGAGGUAACGCCUCACCAAGGCCACGAUGCAUAGCCGCCCUGAGAGGUUGAUCGGCCACCCUUGUACUGAGACACGGCCCAGACUCCUACGGGAGGCAGCAGUAGGGAAUCUUCGGCAAUGGACGAAAGUCUGACCGAGCAACGCCGCGUGAGUGAAGAAGGUUUUCGGAUCUUAAAACUCUGUUGUUAGAGAAGCGGUAUCUAACCAGAAAGCCACGGCUAACUACGUGCCAGCCGCCGCGGUAAUUC
rnacentral:rRNA from 1 species